UGAGGAAUAUUGGUCAAUGGGCUUACGCCUGAACCAGCCAAGUCGCGUGAGGGAAGACUGCCCUAUGGGUUGUAAACCUCUUUUGUCAGGGAGCAAUUGGCGCUACGUGUAGCGUUAUCGAGAGUACCUGAAGAAAAAGCAUCGGCUAACUCCGUGCCAGCAGCCGCGGUAAUACGGAGGAUGCGAGCGUUAUCCGGAUUUAUUGGGUUUAAAGGGUGCGUAGGCGGAAUGCCAAGUCAGCGGUAAAAUCGCGGGGCUCAACCUCGCUCCGCCGUUGAAACUGGCGUUCUUGAGUGGGCGAGAAGUAUGCGGAAUGCGUGGUGUAGCGGUGAAAUGCAUAGAUAUCACGCAGAACUCCGAUUGCGAAGGCAGCAUACCGGCGCGCAACUGACGCUCAUGCACGAAAGCGUGGGUAUCGAACAGG
rnacentral:rRNA from 1 species